rnacentral:rRNA from 1 species
GUAGGGUGCGAGCGUUAAUCGGAAUUACUGGGCGUAAAGCGUGCGCAGGUGGUUUUGUAAGUCAGAUGUGAAAUCCCCGGGCUUAACCUGGGAACUGCGUUUGAAACUGCAAGGCUAGAGUGUGGCAGAGGGGGGUGGAAUUCCGCGUGUAGCAGUGAAGUGCGUAGAGAUGUGGAGGAACACCGAUGGCGAAGGCAGCCCCCUGGGUCAACACUGACGCUCAGGCACGAAAGCAUGGGGAGCAAACAGGAUUAGAUACCCUGGUAGUCCAUGCCCUAAACGAUGUCAACUAGUUGUCGGGUUUUAACGGGCUUGGUAACGUAGCUAACGCGUGAAGUCGACCGCCUGGGGGAGUACGAUCGCAAGAUUA